GCCCGGGUGGCUCAGUUGAUUGGAGCGUCCUUGAGUCCACAAAAAGGUCAAGGGUUCAAUUCCUUGUCAGGGCA
rfam:Myotis lucifugus cont2.2396, whole genome shotgun sequence.